GCCGCGUGUGUGAUGAAGGCUUUCGGGUUGUAAAGCACUUUCAGUGGGGAAGAAAGCCUGUCGGUUAAUACCCGACAGGAACGACAUCACCCACAGAAGAAGCACCGGCUAACUCCGUGCCAGCAGCCGCGGUAAUACGGAGGGUGCGAGCGUUAAUCGGAAUUACUGGGCGUAAAGCGCGCGUAGGCGGCGUGAUAAGCCGGUUGUGAAAGCCCCGGGCUCAACCUGGGAACGGCAUCCGGAACUGUCGCGCUAGAGUGCAGGAGAGGAAGGUAGAAUUCCCGGUGUAGCGGUGAAAUGCGUAGAGAUCGGGAGGAAUACCAGUGGCGAAGGCGGCCUUCUGGACUGACACUGACGCUGAGGUGCGAAAGCGUGGGUAGCAAACAGGAUUAGAUACCCUGGUAGUCCACGCCGUAAACGAUGUCGACUAGCCGUUGGGAGCCUUGAGUUCUUAGUGGCGCAGUUAACGCGAUAAGUCGACCGCCUGGGGAGUACGGCCGCAAGGUUAAAACUCAAAGAA
rnacentral:rRNA from 1 species